CACGUCACCGGUGCCGUAGCCUCGCAGGACUCUUCAUCCCUUCCCGUCUGACCCGGCCUUCCCCUCCCCGACUACAAAAUCCCCGCCCCGCUCUCCUCUCCCGUCCACCAAACCUCCAAUCCCCCCUCCGCGAUCUCACCGAGAAAAUCCUCGACCGACCGAACGACAAGGCCCUCUCAUCCUCCUCCUCCAAGAUGCAGAUCUUCGUGAAGACUCUCACCGGCAAGACCAUCACCCUUGAGGUCGAGUCGUCUGACACGAUCAACAAUGUCAAGGCCAAGAUCCAGGACAAGGAGGGAAUCCCUCCGGACCAGCAGCGCCUCAUCUUUGCUGGCAAGCAGCUAGAGGAUGGCCGCACCCUGGCUGACUACAACAUCCAGAAGGAGUCCACCCUCCACCUGGUGCUCCGCCUCCGCGGAGGCAUGCAGAUCUUUGUCAAGACCCUCACCGGCAAGACCAUCACCUUGGAGGUGGAGUCCUCGGACACCAUCGACAAUGUGAAGGCGAAGAUCCAGGACAAGGAGGGCAUUCCCCCGGACCAGCAGCGUCUGAUUUUUGCCGGCAAGCAGCUUGAGGAUGGCCGCACCCUGGCUGACUACAACAUCCAGAAGGAGUCCACCCUCCACCUGGUGCUCAGGCUUCGUGGAGGCAUGCAGAUUUUUGUCAAGACGCUCACCGGCAAGACCAUCACCCUGGAGGUGGAGUCCUCGGACACCAUCGACAAUGUGAAGGCCAAGAUCCAGGAUAAGGAGGGCAUUCCCCCGGACCAGCAGCGUCUCAUCUUCGCUGGCAAGCAGCUGGAGGAUGGCCGCACCCUGGCAGACUACAACAUCCAGAAGGAGUCUACCCUUCACCUGGUGCUCCGCCUGCGUGGUGGCCAGUAAGUGCGUGAUAGCCGCUUCUGUCUCAGGGUUAACAGGUCUGGUGUUGUCGGUGUACUCCAAUGUAGUUUUCAGCGUGUGCUCUGGUCGUGUUUCUAUCGCUGCUAUGUUUGUUUGUGUCUACAAACUUAUGAUGUGAUGUGGCUUUGAGUUUGGAUGAUGAAAACGUGAUGAAUAAGUGAACCCUUAAUAUCAUGUGAAACUCUAUCGUCUGUGCCAUACCUGUGUUGUUUGUCUCCAGAUUCUUUCAUGAAGUAUAGAGGAAAUUCUACCAUUGGUCUGGUUUAUGUUCUCUCUCAAUUAAUGGAUCUUCUCUU
rnacentral:rRNA from 1 species